GUUAUACCAAGAAAUUAAGUCAUAUUUAAAUAGUAAAAAGGCAGUUAGACAGAUAUUUAGGCUUAUUAACUAUUUAUAAAAAGGUAAAAUUUAAAUAUAAUUAUGAAAACUAAAUAUAGCUUAUGUCGUUGAAGCUGCGAUAGCCUUGAGGGAAACUGGGAUCGGAUACCCCAUUAUUCUUGGUUGUAAAUUUAAUAAAGUUUACUAGAGUACUAUGAAUAUCAAAAUUUAAAACUCAAAGGGCUUGGCGGUAUUUUAGACCUAUCAGGGGAACCUGUCUCAUAAUCGACAAUCCACGUUAAACCUAACCUCCUUUUGUCUACAGUUUGUAUACCGUCGUCGUCAGGUAACUUCUAAAAAACUAAAAGUUAGCUAAAAAACGUUAUGGUUAUAACGCCAGAUCAAGGUGCAGCUAAUAAGGAGGGGAAGAUGGGUUACAAUUAUUUAGUCAUAAUAACGGAUAAUCACAAUAAUAAAAGGUUAUGAAGGAGGACUUGAAAGUAAAUUAAAUUAUAUAAAUAAUUUGAAUAAGGCUCUGAAAUGUGCACACAU
rnacentral:rRNA from 1 species